rnacentral:rRNA from 1 species
GGCAGCAGCCGCGGUAAUACCGGCGGCUCGAGUGGUGGCCACUUUAUUGGGCUUAAAGCGUUCGUAGCUGGGUUGUUAAGUCUCUUGGGAAAUCCGGCGGCUCAACCGUCGGGCGUCUAAGAGAUACUGGCGAUCUUGGAACCGGGAGAGGUGAGGGGUACUUCGGGGGUAGGAGUGAAAUCCUGUAAUCCUCGAGGGACCACCUGUGGCGAAGGCGCCUCACCAGAACGGCUUCGACAGUGAGGGACGAAAGCUGGGGGAGCAAACCGGAUUAGAUACCCGGGUAGUCCCAGCCGUAAACGAUGUGCGUUAGGUGUAUCGACGACCACGAGUCGUCGAGGUGCCGAAGGGAAACCGUGAAACGUACCGCCUGGGAAGUACGGUCGCAAGGCUGAAACUUAAAGGAAUUGGCGGGGGAGCACCACAACAGGUGGAGCCUGCCGGUUUAAUUGGACUCAACGCCGGAAAUCUCACCGGAUAAGACAGCGGAAUGAUUGCCGGGCUGAAGACUCUGCAUGACUAGCUGAGUAGAGGUGCAUGG